rnacentral:misc_RNA from 1 species
GUCGUAACAAGGUUUCCGUAGGUGAACCUGCGGAAGGAUCAUUACCACACCUAAUAAAACUUUCCACGUGAACCUGUUCUACUAGUUUUGUGCUUCGCCAAUGUUGUUGUUUUAUCUUCGAUGAGACAAGGAUAGCGGCUUGAGGCUGAACGAAGGUUGAUUUUGCUAUCAUGGCGAAGUUGACUGAUGUACUUUUCAAACCCCUUUAACUAAUUACUGAUAAAUACUCUGAGAACGAAAGUUCUUAGUUUUAACUAGAUAACAACUUUCAGCAGUGGAUGUCUAGGCUC